GAUGAACGCUGGCGGCGUGCCUAACACAUGCAAGUCGAGCGAUUCUCUUCGGAGAAGAGCGGCGGACGGGUGAGUAACGCGUGGGUAACCUGCCCUGUACACACGGAUAACAUACCGAAAGGUAUGCUAAUACGAGAUAAUAUGCUUUUAUCGCAUGGUAGAAGUAUCAAAGCUCCGGCGGUACAGGAUGGACCCGCGUCUGAUUAGCUAGUUGGUAAGGUAACGGCUUACCAAGGCGACGAUCAGUAGCCGACCUGAGAGGGUGAUCGGCCACAUUGGAACUGAGACACGGUCCAAACUCCUACGGGAGGCAGCAGUGGGGAAUAUUGCACAAUGGGCGAAAGCCUGAUGCAGCAACGCCGCGUGAGCGAUGAAGGCCUUCGGUCGUAAGCUCUGUCCUCAAGGAAGAUAAUGACGGUACUUGAGGAGGAAGCCCCGGCUAACUACGUGCCAGCAG
rnacentral:rRNA from 1 species